AAUAUAUCGCAGAGGGACUGUGCGCAUGCGUAAACGGUUGAGAAGGUUAAAACCUGACUCUUGGAACCUGUCAGUUAAUACUGUCGUAGGGAGCGAAUGAUGGAUCAGA
rnacentral:ncRNA from 2 species